rnacentral:rRNA from 1 species
AGGGAAUCUUCCACAAUGGACGCAAGUCUGAUGGAGCAACGCCGCGUGAGUGAAGAAGGCUUUCGGGUCGUAAAACUCUGUUAUUGAAGAAGAACGUGUGUGACAGUAACUGGUCAUGCAGUGACGGUAUUCAAUCAGAAAGUCACGGCUAACUACGUGCCAGCAGCCGCGGUAAUACGUAGGUGGCAAGCGUUGUCCGGAUUUAUUGGGCGUAAAGCGAGUGCAGGCGGUCUUUUAAGUCUGAUGUGAAAGCCUUCGGCUUAACCGAAGAAGGGCAUCGGAAACUGGGAGACUUGAGUGCAGAAGAGGAGAGUGGAACUCCGUGUGUAGCGGUGAAAUGCGUAGAUAUAUGGAAGAACACCAGUGGCGAAGGCGGCUCUCUGGUCUGUAACUGACGCUGAGGCUCGAAAGCGUGGGUAGCAAACAGGAUUAGAUACC